AUUGAACGCUGGCGGCAGGCCUAACACAUGCAAGUCGAACGAGAGGCGGACGGGUGAGUAAUGUCUGGGAAACUGCCCGAUGGAGGGGGCUAACUACUGGAAACAGUAGCCAAUAACGCAUACAAUAGGAUGUGCACAGAUGUGCUUAGCUAGUGGGGGGGGUAACGGCUCACCUAGGCGACGAUCCCUAGCUGGUCUGAGAGGAUGACCAGCCACACGGGAACUGAGACACGGUCCAGACUCCUACGGGAGGCAGCAGUGGGGAAUAUUGCACAAUGGGCGCAAGCCUGAUGCAGCCAUGCCGCGUGUAUGAAGAAGGCCUUCGGGUUGUAAAGUACUUUCAGCGAGGAGGCGUUACUCGCAGAAGAAGCACCGGCUAACUCCGUGCCAGCAGCCGCGGUAAUAC
rnacentral:rRNA from 1 species